AGUGGAACUGAAGUAACGUAAAACUUGCUGCUACUGAGAAGAGGAGGUCUCACUGGCGAGUGGUGUACCACAUGGCUGGAAAAAGGGAUGAAGACGGUGAAAAAGAGCAAGAGAGGGACAAAGAAAUAAUACAGAAGAGCCACAUGCAUGGAAGGAGCCAUCAAUCCGUGAAAGUCGUCUCCUCGUUUCCCUGUGUGCCAUGGGGCGCAGUAAGAGUUUGUUAUCUGCAUUAAUCUCUUUAACUGGAUUAAAUUCUUGAGAACAAAAUCCACUCAGUUCCUGGAUGAGCGUACGGGCCAGACCUGUGGAACAGGUAUUUAGGAAUAGGCAUGCAGGCAAUUUGAUUAUAUUCCAGAAGAUCACAGUUCAACUCUGUCUCGCAGGUUUUCCCAGGAGGGUAACUGAGAAAACUGCAUAAUUUGAGACUCAUUUUAGGGUCAUGGUCCUUCUAGUAAAUCUAUUGUUUUGUUUUCUGAAAAAAAAAAUAAAAAGAGAAAAGAAAAAAUUAUAGAGAGCCUUCAGAGUGAAAACAAAUCUGUGUUUGAUCCAGUGUUGUUCUGGCUACUGCUUGUGAGUUUUUGUUGGAUGCUCGACAGGGACAACAAAUGCAUAAUCCAGUGUUACACUUCAAUUUGAUAAAUGCCGCGGAGAUUAUUUUUUUCUUCUCCAUUAUGAAGCAUAGAUCAUGGUCAACAGUACACCAGACUGUAUCGCCUUGAAACCUGGUGUCAGAAUUCCCAUUUGCCUGCAGAAAGGUACCUUUCCUUACUCUAUAUUUUUAUUUUGGCAGCUGCAGUCCUGACCCUGGCUUCAUAUGCUUACAGCUGACCUAAUUUAAUUUCUUUCGUGUUGUAAGUAGAGAGACUCUGUCAAUAGCACUCCGUUUGUUUGAUGGUUGUGAUUAUUUUUGUCAUACAUUUUUUUCUGUAUGAAUAUAUGAAAAUGCAGUAAUCAUCUCAGCUCUAUUUCUUUCUAGGAAUUUGUUCAGACCGAGAAAUCUAAAUAAACAAACUGAAGGGACUUGUCCUUUCUUUUUAAAGCAUUAUAAUUUUCAAAAGGUCUCUGAAGUUCAAAGGGAAUCUUUCUUCUACCUAAAUGAUUUUAUUCACGAAAAACUGGAGGGAAUCAAAUGAAAGUGCUGUGGUGACACUGAAUUUGGAUAUUAGACGUAUUUUUCUGUCCUGAAUUCCACGUCAGCUUGUGGAGCGAUGUGCUGCUUAACCGAUCUUCCUGCGAAAGUCAGGCAGUUUGUUUCUUGAUGACCAGCCCCAUCCGACCUGUUUGAGAUAUUAACAAGAUGAAUGUAUGAUUUGACUGCUGUGUUCCUGAAAAAGACACAGGACCCCUCUCUGAUCGAUGUGAGGCACAGAUGGGUGUUGUCAUCGAGUGGGACAAUAAAGGGGGAUUCAUCUCCACAGUAAGAGAAGUGGAAGCAUCCGCAUGUGUGAGUUGGGGUUUGAAGGGUAUCUGCUUGGAUAUCGGAGCCGGGGCUGCUGUACUGCUUGCUUCCUUCUGCACACACAUCCUAAAUGUCAGAGAUAACGUCUUUCUGAAAUGCCUGGAGCUGUUUUCCCUCUCAGAAGUCCUGUUUUGCCUUCCUGCAGACUCGGGCAGCGAUCCAUCCAGCAGGUAUGACGGGACUAUAUUUUUAAGGUUUUCAAAUGAAGCCUAAAGGCUGGAGGUGGGAUGGAUGGUACGCUAUGAAACACACAGAAGUCUAGAAAAACUCCAUCGCAAGCUUUUCGAGCACAGGGAAGAGUAGGAAAUGUCAAAGAAACAAGGUCUACGAGCGAAAAGGGAGAGGCAAAAGAGCUGAAGCUCUGCAAUCUAUUAGAGGAAAGAUGUUUCUGAGGUGCGAGCAUACGAAGCGGAGCAGGGGGAC